rnacentral:rRNA from 1 species
GAUGAACGCUGGCGGCGUGCCUAAUACAUGCAAGUCGAGCGAACGGACGAGAAGCUUGCUUCUCUGAUGUUAGCGGCGGACGGGUGAGUAACACGUGGAUAACCUACCUAUAAGACUGGGAUAACUUCGGGAAACCGGAGCUAAUACCGGAUGAUAUUUUGAACCGCAUGGUUCAAAAGUGAAAGACGGUCUUGCUGUCACUUAUAGAUGGAUCCGCGCUGCAUUAGCUAGUUGGUAAGGUAACGGCUUACCAAGGCAACGAUGCAUAGCCGACCUGAGAGAGUGAGCGGCCCCACUGUAAAUGAGACACGGUCCAGACUCCUCUGGGAGGCAGCAGUAGGGAAUCUUCCGCAAUGGGCGAAAGCCUGACGGAGCAACGCCGCGUGAGUGAUGAAGGUCUUCGGAUCGUAAAACUCUGUUAUUAGGGAAGAACAUAUGUGUAAGUAACUGUGCACAUCUUGACGGUACCUAAUCAGAAAGCCACGGCUAACUACGUG